rnacentral:rRNA from 1 species
UACGGAAGGCAGCAGUGGGGAAUAUUGCACAAUGGGCGAAAGCCUGAUGCAGCUAUGCCGCGUGUAUGAAGAAGGCCUUAGGGUUGUAAAGUACUUUCAUCGGGGAGGAAAAAACAAAACUAAUAAUUUUAUUUCUUGACGUUACCCGAAAAAGAAGCACCGGCUAACUCCGUGCCAGCAGCCGCGGUAAUACGGAGGGUGCUAGCGUUAAUCAGAAUUACUGGGCGUAAAGAGCACGUAGGUGGUUUUUUUAAAGUCAGAUGUGAAAUCCCUGGGCUUAACCUAGGAACUGCAUUUUGAAACUGAAAUACUAGAGUAUCGUAGAGGGAGGUAGAAUUCUAGGUGUAGCGGUGAAAUGCGUAGAUAUCUGGAGGAAUACCGUGUGGCGAAAGCGGCCUCCUAAACGAAUACUGACACUGAGGUGCGAAAGCGUGGGGAGCGAAACAGGGAUUAGAUACCCGU